UUAAAAAGCUCGUAGUUGGAUUUCUGCGGGGGCGGGGCGGCCGGUUGCUUAUAGCAACUCGAGCUAGCACUUCCCCUGCAUCCUGCCGCGAACCGUGCUACCAUUAGUUUGGUGGCGCCGGGGAUCGGCUCGUUUACUUUGAGAAAAAUAGAGUGUUCAAAGCAGGCCACACGCCUUGAAUAAGUUAGCAUGGAAUAAUGAUAAAGGACUUCGGUUCUAUUUUGUUGGUGUUCGGGACUGAAGUAAUGAUUGAUAGGGACAGUUGGGGCGGUCAGUAUUCCAAAGCGAGAGGUGAAAUUCUUAGACCUUCGGAAGACUAA
rnacentral:rRNA from 1 species